UUGCGGUUAAAGCUCGCUAGUUGGAUCUGUGUCCUUCGACGCCGGUUCACCGCCUGUCGGUGCCAACUGGCGUUUUGCGGGACGUCCUGUCGGUGGCGUGUCAGGAAUCUUAGUUGGGCUCUGCUCAGCUUCGAUUUCGGGCCGCUUUCAUAAUCCCGUCGCGGUGCUCUUAAACGAGUGUCGAGGCGGGCCGGCACGUUUACUUUGAACAAAUUAGAGUGCUUCAAGCAGGCUUGUCAUGCCUGUAUACUGUGUGCAUGGAAUAAUGGAAUAGGACCUCGGUUCUAUUUUGUUGGUUUCCGGAAUCUGAGGUAAUGAUCAAUGGGGACAGGCGGGGGCAUUCGUAUUGCGACGUUAGAGGUGAAAUUCUUGGAUCGUCGCAAGACGGACCGAAGCGAAAGCAUUUGCCAAGUAUGUUCCCGUCGAUCAAGAACGAAAGUUAGAGGUUCGAAGGCGAUCAGAUACCGCCCUAGUUCUAACCAUAAACAAUGCCUGCCAGCGAUCCGCCGGCGUCCCUCCGAUGACCCGGCGGGCAGCUUCCGGGAAACCAGAGCUUUUGGGUUCCGGGGGAAGUAUGGUUGCAAAGCUGAAACUUAAAGGAAUUGACGGAAGGGCACCACCAGGAGUGGAGCCUGCGGCUUAAUUUGACUCAACACGGGAAAACUCACCAGGCCCGGACACCGGAAGGAUUGACAGAUUGAUAGCUCUUUCUUGAUUCGGUGGGUGGUGGUGCAUGGCCGUUCUUAGUUGGUGGAGCGAUUUGUCUGGUUAAUUCCGAUAACGAACGAGACUCUAGCCUACUAACUAGACGUAUCUGGUAUCAGCAAUCGUGCUACCAGCGAUCAUAUCUCUUCUUAGAGGGACAGGCGGCUUCUAGCCGCACGAGACUGAGCAAUAACAGGUCUGUGAUGCCCUUAGAUGUCCUGGGCCGCACGCGCGCUACACUGAAGGAAUCAGCGUGUCUUCCCUGUCCGAAAGGACCGGGUAACCCGCUGAACCUCCUUCGUGCUUGGGAUUGGGGCUUGCAAUUGUUCCCCAUGAACGAGGAAUUCCCAGUAAGCGCGAGUCAUAAGCUCGCGUUGAUUACGUCCCUGCCCUUUGUACACACCGCCCGUCGCUACUACCGAUUGAAUGAUUUAGUGAGGUCUUCGGACCGGUGCGCGGAGGCGGUUUACCGCUCCCGAUGUUGUCGGAAAGAUGACCAAACUUGAUCAUUUAGAGGAAGUAAAAGUCGUAAC
rnacentral:rRNA from 1 species